GGCAGGCGGCGGCCCAGCUCAGCCGGCUCCCGGGGCCUCGGCGCCGCGGCCCCUACCCCCACCCCCGCGUGCGCCUGGCGAGACUCUCCGGGACUCUCCUAGCGGAGAUCCACUUGUCAGUUCAAGGGCAGGACAGAAACUGCAAGCUGAGUCUUGUGAGCAGGAAAUUUUUCAUUGACAAGUUCCAGGCCCCCAUAUCAAACUGCACAGCAGAUAUCUCACCUUGGCAUCCAUAUUCAGCUGAGGAGCCACAGCUGGCCUUUACACGCUGGUUUUAAGGAUCAGCGGGUGUCAACUGAUCCACCCUGUUCACCAUGGGAACCUGAGCAUUUAUCUCCAUGAAGGGUGCCUUCCUCCCAGGGAAGCCUUGGAAACCGUGGGGCCAGGAAACUCAAGGCAAAGACUUACUCCUCAGACAAAGCAACCAGACCCUGGCAAGGAGUUGGAAAAACCUCUCUGUGCUCCUAGCCAUACUAAACUGUGGCUCUGCAGUGGAUCAUAUUAUGACCUGCCUCGCCUUUUCCGACUCCUGGGCGAGUUUCUCGGAUUUUGAGCUUGCCUUGAACAUCACUCUUGGGGCUGGCUGCAGAUCCAGCUUAUCAGCAGAGUGCUUACGGAGCAUGUGUGAGACCCCUAGGUUCCAUUUAUAGCCCUACAAAGAAGCAAAAACUCCCCGUGCCCUCCGCCCCCCCCCCGUCCCCCGACACACACACACACACACACACACCAGAGAGAGAGAGAGAGAGAGAGAGAGAGAGAGAGAGAGAGAGAGAGAGAGAGAGAGAGAUAUGCUAUGGGAAGGCGUCCCCAUGCCCCUUCCACUCAAUUCCUCUCCUGAAGUUACAGAGCUUUGGAGAUCUGGGGAGCAGAUUAGCUUUCUUCAGCUCUUAGAACAAUAGCUAGAGUUUACUAAGGGCUUUCUAUCUGACAAACACAGUAUAGACUGAUCUUGUUCCUUAUAGAAAACUAUCAUCACCAUUUCAAAGACGAGGGAAGGAGACCUAGACACUAAACAUGACUGUUUGCCUGGAUACUCACCACCUGAUUUCCCCCAAACCCAACUGCUACCCAAGUCAUCACUGCCCCUGCCCUCAUGGUGGGGGGCAUGGGCAAGUACACGGCAUACCUUCUAGGAUCUAUGGACAGCUUCAUUCUUUGGCCAAUUCCCUGUGCUCAUCAUAAACAGGCUCUGAUGACAAUGUCCUUCACUGCAUCCUGCCACACAAAUGAUGUCCCCUAAGGACAUCAUUGUCCUGCGGUGAAUUUAUCUGCUAGGUCCCUAAGAGAGGGCUUCCCCCACCCCUCUUGUGGCUUGUAAAGCCAAGGAUAAAGCUGGCAGCAAGUCCAGAAUGAAGGCUGGGAUGCCUUCAUGGGUUCAGUGCCAGUGGCUACACUGGGACCUUCCUGGCCUGCUGACUGGCACAGGGAGUUUGGAGGCGAGAUAAAUCUGGAAGAUAAUUUAGCUCCUGUCUUUUCUGAACCAGCCAUGGUCCUCUUCUCUAGGUCUGCUGGCGAUGGAUGAUUAACGUCGAAUGCAUGCUUUCUCUCCUCCUCUCCUCUGCUUCUUCCUUUCUUUGGGGUUAUUUUCCAAUGGCUGCUACAGUUUCUCUUCAGAGUACCCGCGCAGAGCGUGACCCGAAUGCUGCUCUGAAGGGGUCCCAGGUGGCAGAUGGCACCAGAUUACUCCUAUAGGAGCCCCUGCUACUGUUUAGAGUUCAAGGCUAACCCGCCACUGCCAUCAAUUGAGGCCUAAUCCUUUAAUUAUUCUCAAAAUGCCAAAAAUAAAGAUUGCAAGGAAGGCAAUUAAUAGGAUCAUCCGGUGUAUUCCUCAUUUGUAAUUAUAUAUUAUUAUUUUCCUCCCUACUUUGUUCCAAUAAUGAUUUAAGGCUGCUUCCAAAGAUACACAAAUGCAAGCAAAGAUAAAUAAAAGGAGUGGGACGUGAAUUACAAUGUCAUGCCUGCUCGAGACAUCUUUGCCCCAUCUACAUAAGAGAGCUGAAUUCAUAAUGCCUUUCAAAAAUGAGGUAAUUUCGUUCUUUCAGUGGCAACACUAGGCUCUUUGUCAAGAGAAAGGGUAUUACACUGUCUGGAAAGAGCUUGGGGAGGACAGGGGUCUGGUUGGCAAGGCUGGUUGUGCCAGUGUGCGAUCUUAGACAAGUUGUUUGUGUUGGUAUAACAAAAUACCUGAGAUUGAGCAUUUUAUAAAGUGAAGAGGUUUAUUUGGCUCACAAUUCUGGUGCCUGGAAGUUUCCAACAGCAUGGCAUUGGUGUCCUGGUGAGGGGCCCCUGGCUGCAGGACAAUGUGGCAGAGAGGAUAGAAAACAUGAAUGACAAUGUGGCAGAGAGGAUAGAAAACAUGAAUGACAAUGUGGCAGAGAGGAUAGCAGCUUCUUAGAGAAGGGGACAAGAGAGUCAGGUAAUGACUUCUGCUUUGCAACAACCCAAUUUCAGGAAAGCUAAUCCACUCCAGAGAGAUUGCAUUAGCCUCUUAAGAAGGGCUGCUAGGACCCAGUCACCUAAUCACCUCUUAACCAGACCCCACCCCCUAAAGUUGCCAGCACC